CUGCUGCCUUCUGCCGCUGGAGUCCGUAGGGUCCUUGGAAGGCUGAGAAGGUAGUAAGGCCAGCAGGGUUUCUGGUGGGCUCAACCGCCUGCCUCGAAGGUUCGGCUUAGAGAUGCAGUGUACCCGGGACACUGUAGAGCUAAGGAAACUGAGGCCAGGAACAUUCCAAAGGCAGAUCGUGGCCUUAGACUGGAACCAGGAGCCCGGUGCUGGCUCUGCUACUUUCCGCAGUAAGCUGGACCCAACUCCUGAACUGUGGCAGGUAUGGCUGGUCGAAGUGGCAGUACCACUGAAAGGGGGCAUCUGUCUGGACUGGAAUGGCCCGGUCUGCAAGGGCACCCAGCUGAGAUGUGCAGCAUACGUUCGUUGAAGCAGGAGCUGGCAGCCUCCUGAGCUCCUGCUAAAGCUGUGAAAUGAUAAAUGAUAAACCAAGUGCCUGCAUUUCUGGUGGUUCCCCAACAGACAAAACAGAGCCAGUUUUCCAGAGAAGCCUCAGCUCGGGACACAACUCAGGGUGGCCUCCUGAUGGACAGUCCAGCACAUGGAUGAUAUGAGGUCUGCCUAUGCUUCUGGCCAGCAUCUGAGGGUUCUUCCUGUGUAUCUGACACGGAGUCAUCCCGAUAAGAUCACGUGCAACUCCUACCCCAUCCCACCAUGAUCUCCCCCAACUUCUAACCCUUUGGCCCUGACUCCUGGGUCUGUAUGUCGUCGGGUCCAGUUCCAUUGAGGUCAGCACUGCGCUGUAUCUUAGCCACAGGAAUCUUCCUCUUCCUGUAGUGCCUUGGAGGCUUCGAGAGCGGUAUCAUUUUCUGGAAAGUCAAGGGACCUGCCUCCCCAGACACAGCACUGUCAACAAUGAUGUCUUGCUUGUGGUUGCUCUUGGUGGCUUGCCCAGCCUACCCCUCACCACUGGUGACAGGGCUGGGAUCUUCACUGUUCCAUCUGGCCAGGUGUUGGAGUUGGGAGAAGAGAAAAUAUCACCUCUGUGCCUGUAAUUCCCGUGGCCCAGCACAGACAGAACACAGCCAGAGCCUUCCAGGGAUGCCGCAGCUAACGUUCCACCCCAGGACACUCUCCCCACAGACAGUCCAGCAGAUUUGGUGGUCUGAGGCCUGUCUUUGCUCCUGCCCAGCUUCUGUGGGUGCCCCCUGUGUGUCUGGCACUUACUCUUGCUGAUAAGCUUGCCAGCAAGUCCCCCACCCAUCCUACCACCACCUCCCCCAACGUCUAACCCUUUGGCCCUGACUCCUGGGUCUGUAUGUCGUCGGGUCCAGUUCCAUUAAGGUCGGCACCUUGCUCUAUCUUGGCGUCAGGAAUCUUCCUCUUCCUACGGCACCUCAGAGGCUUCGAGGGUGGUGUCAUUUUGGGGGCAGGCAAGGGACCUGCUUCCCCAGGCACCUCUGUUAAUUUGUAGACUUCUUCUUGUUCUCAGAGUCUUGGCUGACCUGCCCCUCACUGCUGGUGAUGGGCCGGGAUCUUCACUGAUCAGCUGUUCCAUCUGGCCAGGUGCUGGAGUUGGGAGAGGAGAAAACACCUCCCACAUGCCUGUAUUUCUAAUGGCCCAGCACAGACAGAACACAGCCAGAGCCUUCCAGGGACGCCGCAGCUAACGUCCCACCCCAGGACGCCCUUUCCGUGGAGAGUUCAGCAGAUGGCUGGUUUGAGGCAGGUCUUGCUUUUUGGUAGCCUUUCUUGGUGUUCAGUGUAUGUCUGACAUCGACUUCCCCACAAGUCCCCUCCUGCUCACUCCCAUCCCACCCCCACUCUCCCACCUGCUCACCCUCCGUGUCUGCCUCCUCAGGCUUCAGGUCAUCUGGCCUGGUUUGCUUAACGUGGGCACCACGUUCCAGGUUGGAGACAGAAAUUGUUAGGUUUGUGUUGGGCUUGGGCAUCUUUGGGGUAAGUGGCCUUCUCCGUUUUUUUCUGUGGGCCUUCUUCCCUAGACCCCUGGUUGGCCAAAAUCGCUUCAAGCCCGCUCUGGUCCUCGGCGGGGUGGCGCAUCUUCACAUUGCUGUUGGAAACAGGGCAAGGUUCUCUGUCAACCAGCUGUUCCUCCUGGGCUUGUGCCUGAGUUGCGAGAGGAGAAAAGAUCUCUUACGCGCCUCGUGCCUGCUUUUCCAUGUGCUCCCGACCAGCCACUGCGGCUGCUCCCUGUGUUUCGCAUGAACCCUUGCCACAAGCUUUCUUUCAUCUUCACUGCCAGUCCCCCACCAUCCCACCACCACCUCCCCCAAUGCCUCACCCUUUGGCCCUGACUCCUGGGUCUGUAUGUCAUUGGGUCCAGUUCCAUUAAGAUCAGCACUGUGCUCUAUCUUGGCCUCAGGAAUCUUCCUCUUCCUACGGCACCUCAGAGGCUUUGAGGGUGGUGUCAUUUUUUGGGCAGGUAAGGGACCUGCUUCCCCAGACACCUCACUGUUAAUUUGUAGACUUCUUCCUGUUCUCAGUGGCUUGGCCCACCUGCCUGCCUACCUCCCAUGCCUACCUCCCCCACCUCCUCACCCUUGGACUCCAUCUUUUUGGCUUCCAGGUUAUCUGGCCCUGUUUGUUUAAUGUGGGCAACUUGUUCCAUGUUGGUUUUGGAAAUCCUCUUUCCGUGGAGUCUGGGCAGCCUCCGUCCAUGAAAGGGUCCUGGUUCCCCAGAGUCCUGGGUGGUGACAGGGAUUUCAGGGUUUCCGUGGGUCUUGUUGUUGUGGAGCUCCUGGCCCGCACUGGCGGAGACGUGCCCUGGUUCUUCCUCGACCACCUGUUGGUCCUCUGUAACCACGGUUGAAGUCUGCAGUGACAGCGCCGGGUUGCCGCUUCCGAGGCCUCAAGCCCUGCUUGGACCUAGUCGCUGCUGCUUCUUCCCACUGCACUUUCCGCUUCAGCUCAGGCCCAGCCCUGUGUUUGCACGCACCUCCACCAGGAAAGUUAGAUUCACCUCCAGGGCUCGGGAUAAACCUCGGGCAGAGGACCCCAUCCAUACUCCACAUCCACCCCGCCUGGCUUGACCUGGUGUGUGAGCAUGAGCAGCCGCUCACCAGUGUUCUCAUCAGCUCCUGCUUGGGGCAGGCCUACCCACGUGAACCCCCUUAAACACACACGCUCACACAAGUAAGUGUCUUAGGGCCACUCAGGUGUGAUCUGAGUGGUGGCCUGGCCCGAACAAAACCACCCUGGUCCUCCCUCAGUUACCUUUCUGUUGCGCUGUGAAAAGGGCCAUAGGCCUCUGGGAUGAGCCUUGGACCAACGGUGUCCUUUCUUCUCACUGCCUCUUUUAAGGCCAUGGCCUCAGGACGUCCCCACACAGCAGCAGAACAUCCUUACUGUUGAAACGUCUAACCAAGUGACCAGGGUAGGGGCAGCUUUAGAAAGUGCCUUCCUGGUUAUCAGGGUUCCAAGUUCUGUUGGGCUCUAUUGUCAGAAAGUGAGGUCACUCUGUGGGUGCUUUACCCCAAGCAUCUCCUCAGAUGAGCAGUGACUUCACUUCCUGAUAACCAGUGGACCUUACCACACUGAUCAUUGACAUCCUAAUACUGCCCCUAUCAGGCUCACUUGGCUAGAGACAUUUGCAUCACAGGAUGUCUUCUUGUCUGCCCAUCUCCCAAGGCUGCUGGACGAGCAGCAGCUGGUCCACGAAGACCCUGGCCUGGUCUCCACCACCGAGGGGCAGGUGUGCCACGCCACCAAGGGCCAGAGCAGGCCAGAAGCGACUGUGGCCACCUGAGUUGUAAUUAAGCUAUAUAUACAGUUUUGUGUCUUGCUCUUCUUGCUAACUAGUCAUGUAACUAUUUUUUAAGGGAUAUAUUUAACUGUGUUUUAUGAGGGAUCCUGUUAACUGUGUGUUUAACAGGAAGUGAGUGAAGUCACAGACAUUACCAGACAGUACCCCGGCUGCCUGCAGCGGGAAAGAGACUGAAAGCGUAGUACUCUCAGGAAGCUAGUUAUGCAUCAUGAAAGGAGGGGGGAGCUGAUGUAAAUCCAACGUGCUUCCCAGGGAAACUCCCUAGAUAACAUUUAGAAAAGCAGUUUCAUGUGUUGCUUCAAAUUUGCUUUGUAUAAACAAGCUACAAGAGAGAAAAAGGCGCCCCCUAUAUAUACAAAAAAGAAGCAGAGGAAACAACUUAGGGGGAAGUCCUUUGAGUUGACUGGGAGGCUUUCAGAGGUGCUGAACCUGUAUUUUAUUUUCAAAGACUAUCUUUUAGUUCAAGGACUUUUGUCUCAGGAGGUCUCCAGUCCUAAAAACAGCUGUCCCAUCGGGUUAUUGACACUAGAAGCUUGCAAGAAGAACGCGCCCCAGUGAGGCCCCUUCCCAUGCACUGACUCCCCACUAUGUCAGGUAGCUUCACAGAAGGAAGAUGUUUAAUUAGUCACUGUAGCCUUUACUUCUCAUUCUAACCUUCAAGAUGAGUGCGUUUUCCAUAUCUCUCUGCAACUGGAAGAUAUAUGUUCAUUAAUAUUUUCUUGAUCUCGCGCUCUUUCCUCCUCUGCCUCACCAGUUAGUCUUUGCACAAAUAAGCCUGCUAACUGUAUUCAGGUAGCAAAUGAACAGAGUUCAUUCUUGUCAGAUGAGGCCCAGGGGCCCAGUGGAUCUAUUUGGAAUGUGUUAGGCUAUUUGUUAACUAAGGUGAGCUAUGGUGAAUUUUUGGAAGCAAACAAACAAAAAAAAGGAGUUUUUUGCUCUAAGACUGGGAAAUGAGUUUUGAAGUUAAGUUUACGAACGGUUAAGAUGUGGGAUUUUUUAUUUUGUUGUAUUCAAUCCUGAUGGCUAAGAAAGAAUGAAGAUGUUAACAAAUGCUAAUUUUGGACAAAAGGUGUAAGAAUGAUUAUUUUCUGUAUUCUUAUGCAUUUAAAACAAUUUCCCCUGGGAAAAGAAGCCCAAAUUUCUCCUUUUUGAAAAUGUCAGAAGCAAUUUGCCUAAAAUAUGACUUUAUCGCAUUAGUACAGCGGUUCUCAACCCUGGCUGCUCAUCAGAGAACAUUGUUUUUUUAAAUCCCAUGCUUGAAACCAAAUACAGAGAUUCAAAUUUAAUUGUUUUGAGUUGGGACCUGGGCAUUGUUAUUGUUUAAAAGUGUUUCAUGCGAUUCUAAUUUGCAAUCAGGUGUGAAAGUCAGAGGGGUAACUAACUAAUGUGCUGCCUUAUCUACGUGUCUUCCCGAUCUCUCAGUAACCUCCUUGGGAAGGAAACGGACUCCGAUACUUCACUUUAUUCCUUAUGUAACAUUUGAUUGUAUUUGUUGUUUGAUUGAAGGUAAAAAGGAAGAUAAGAAGGAAAACACAUGAUCUGUAAUCUGAACUUUACAAUUUAAUGAUGAACUUGUGACCAGAGACUGAGUUGGUUUAUUUUUGAGUCUCAAUGCCACACAGCUAUAUUAUUGUCAACCUUAAACUAAAUCACAAUGCCUGUCUUUGCUGCAGUGACUAGAAACUUUACAUCCGUGACCAGAAUAAUAACAGAAUGUGUUCCAAGGCCCUUGUCAGUCUGGUCAAUGAAUGCGUGUUUGGCUAAAUGCCAAGGGGAUCUGCUGCCCUCUGGAGGGUAUUGUGUUAUCACAGAUGAAAACAGCAUUGUCUGUGUGUAUUUCCAGAGCAUGCGAGAAGUUAUGAAACAAAAAGGUUUCAUGGUCAAAUUACUUGGAAAAUGCUACAUUUUCUCUGUGUAAGGAAGUUACAAUGCAAAUUAGCAAAAUAAAGACUAAGGAAUUUUAUAAGAAAGAAAUUUGGUUUCCAAACUAAUUGUACCAUUUUCUCUCCCACCUAAAUCCGAUUAAUAGUAUUUGGGAGACUAAUAUUGUACAAAUAAUAUUUUAUAUUAAUAAUACAUAAAUAACAUUCUGGAUUUGGAGGAGAGAAAGGAGAAAAAUUUAAUGAAAGAUUUCUUAAGCAGGCUAGAAAAAGGGAAAGAUUUAUAAAGUAGAUGCAUUAAAACAAAAAGAUCCCAUGUCUGUGCAGUGACAUUUUGACUGGAGAUUUAUAACUGGCUGUGGCGGAGUGAUGUGCCACACAAGAAUAUUCAUGUUUAUCUUUCUUCUUACUUUUUAUCCUAAUGAAACAUUUGAGAUGUUUGUGCUGCUGCAUGGCAAACGGAAUUGUGACCUGUACUUGUUAACAUGAAGCUGAUUUCAUGUACUGUCAGAUGUGUUGGGAAUCAUAUCAGACCAAAAGUGUGCAGAUGUCAGGAGGCCAGGCAUAAGGGCAUUCCACCCAGUGGCCCAGUGAGUGCAGCCAUAGACCACUUUUGUGCAAUUUACAGCCGUGUUUUCCUCAGGCUAGGAAGUAGCACAUUAAGUAGAA